GGCAAUAGCAGCUUGCACAUGACAAGGCUCUGCAGCGCAUGAAACCCCUUAAACUGAAGAUGAUGUUCCUGAAGCCUAGAGAUGUCAGCACUCGCAGUCAGCCGCUUUAUCAUCCAUUGCUCCAUUAACCUCAUCCACCUGGUCAACACAAUUCAAACAUACCAGAUACAGACUCAGUUAAAACAGAUAUGGGUGCAAGUCAUGAGACUUUU